rnacentral:rRNA from 1 species
UACGGAAGGGGCAAGCGUUGUUCGGAAUCAUUGGGCGUAAAGGGCGCGUAGGUGGUUCUGUAUGUCUACCGUGAAAGCGUACGGCUCAACCGUAUUUUGUCGGUGGAAACUGCAGGACUUGAGGCUGGGGGGGGCUGGUGGAAUUCCCUGUGUAGCGGUGAAAUGCGUAGAGAUGGGGGAGAACACUCGUGGCGAAGGCGGCCAGCUAGACCAGUUCUGACACUGAGGCGCGACAGCGUGGGGAGCAAACAGG